rnacentral:rRNA from 1 species
UGGGGAAUAUUGCACAAUGGGCGCAAGCCUGAUGCAGCCAUGCCGCGUGUAUGAAGAAGGCCUUCGGGUUGUAAAGUACUUUCAGCGGGGAGGAAGGGAGUAAAGUUAAUACCUUUGCUCAUUGACGUUACCCGCAGAAGAAGCACCGGCUAACUCCGUGCCAGCAGCCGCGGUAAUACGGAGGGUGCAAGCGUUAAUCGGAAUUACUGGGCGUAAAGCGCACGCAGGCGGUUUGUUAAGUCAGAUGUGAAAUCCCCGGGCUCAACCUGGGAACUGCAUCUGAUACUGGCAAGCUUGAGUCUCGUAGAGGGGGGUAGAAUUCCAGGUGUAGCGGUGAAAUGCGUUGAGAUCUGGAGGAAUACCGGUGGCGAAGGCGGCCCCCUGGACGAAGACUGACGCUCAGGUGCGAAAGCGUGGGGAGCAAACAGG